rnacentral:rRNA from 1 species
AGAACGAACGCUGGCGGCACGCCUAACACAUGCAAGUCGAGCGCCCAGCAAUGGGAGCGGCGGACGGGUGAGGAACACGUGGGAAUAUGCCUUUCGGUUCGGCACAACUGCGGGAAACUGCAGCUAAUUCCGGAUACGCCCUUACGGGGAAAGAUUUAUCGCCGAAAGAUUAGCCCGCGUCUGAUUAGCUAGUUGGUGAGGUAAUGGCUCACCAAGGCUUCGAUCAGUAGCUGGUUUGAGAGAACGACCAGCCACACUGGGACUGAGACACGGCCCAGACUCCUACGGGAGGCAGCAGUGGGGAAUCUUGGACAAUGGAGGAAACUCUGAUCCAGCGAUGCCGCGUGAGUGAUGAAGGCCUUCGGGUUGUAAAACUCUUUUACCAGGGAAGAUAAUGACUGUACCUGGAGAUAAGCUCGGCUAACUUCGUGCCAGCAGCCGC